rnacentral:ncRNA from 1 species
CGCCUACUCCAAUCUUGCUGCGCGGUGCUCUUCACCGAGUGCCGUCGGCGGGCCGACACGUUUACUUUGAACAAAUUAGAGUGCUCAAAGCAGGCUCGAAUCUGGCGGGGCGGCUUCACGGCCGUCUCGUCAAAAGGCCCUGAAUACUGGUCGCAUGGAAUAAUGGAACAAGACCUCGGUCCCGCGCAUCUCCGCCCUUCGCGGGCGCGCGAAAUCGCCCUCCGGGGCGUUUCCGUGCGCGGGCCGCCGGGCCGCGGGCGCCAGUCGCCCGCGCGUCCCGCCGGGCCGGUUUUCGGGACCGGAGGUAAUGAUCAACAGAGACGGGCGGGGGCAUUCGUACCGAGACGUUAGAGGUGAAAUUCUUGGAUCGUCUCGAGACGAACUGACGCGAAAGCAUUUGCCAAGUACGUUCUCGUAUGAUCAAGAACGAAAGUUAGAGGUUCGAAGGCGAUCAGAUACCGCCCUAGUUCUAACUGUAAACGAUGCCAGCUAGCGAUCCGCCGGCGUUUCAUUAACGACCCGGCGGGCAGCUUCCGGGAAACCGAAGCUUUUCGGUUCCGGGGGAAGUAUGAUUGCAAAGUUGAAACUUAAAGGAAUUGACGGAAGGGCACCACCAGGAGUGGAGCCUGCGGCUUAAUUUUGACUCAACACGGGAAACCUCACCAGGCCCGGACACCGGAAAGAUUGACAGAUUGAGAGCUCUUUCUUGAUUCGGUGGGUGGUGGUGCAUGGCCGUUCUUAGUUGGUGGAGCGAUCUGUCUGGUUAAUUCCGAUAACGAACGAGACUCUGUCCUGCUAACUAGGCGGGUAAACCCGGGUCGGCGUGUGCGCGGCGCUGGCGGUUUCGGCCGUCAGUGUUCGCGUACCCGUCGGCUCGGCCCGGUAUCCCCGAACGCGUUCGCCCGUCGUCCACGGCGGUCGUCGGGCGCGGCCGCGCCAUCCGCGUCCCGGCGUUCGGCGGGCGUAUGUCGGCCGGGGGGCAACCUCCGGUCGGCCUGCGUCCGUCGUGCGUCGGGCUCCGUGGUGAAGCGCGCCGUGUUCGCGGCCGUCGCCGGCGGAUCACGAUACGUUACUAGGGCUACCGCCGG